rnacentral:tRNA from 1 species
CGCGGGGUAGAGCAGCCCGGUAGCUCGUCAGGCUCAUAACCUGAAGGCCGCAGGUUCGAAUCCUGCCCCCGCCACCG